rnacentral:rRNA from 1 species
AGCAGCCGCGGUAAUUCCAGCUCCAAUAGCGUAUAUUAAAGUUGUUGCAGUUAAAAAGCUCGUAGUUGAAUUUCGGGAUUUGUCAGUUGGUCGGGCUUCACUGUCCGUAUUGACUUGAUGGAUUCUUACCUUCUGAAUAACCAGCAUGCUAUUAAGUUAGUGCGUUGGGGAAGCAGAUCUAUUACCUUGAAAAAUUAGAGUGCUUAAAGCGAGCUAGUGCUUGAAUAGAUUAGCAUGGAAUAAUAAAAUAGGACGGCAUGGUUCUAUUUUGUUGGUUUCUAGGAUCACCGUAAUGAUUAAUAGGGAUAGUUGGGGGCAUUAGUAUUCAAUUGUCAGAGGUGAAAUUCUUGGAUUUAUUGAAGACUAACUUCUGCGAAAGCAUUUGCCAAGGAUGUUUUCAUUAAUCAAGAACGAAAGUUAGGGGAUCGAAGACGAUCAGAUACCGUCGUAGUCUUAACCAUAAACUAUGCCGACUAGGAAUCGGACGAUGUUAAUUUAGUAAUGACUCGUUCGGUA